rnacentral:rRNA from 1 species
UACGGGGGGGGCAAGCGUUGUUCGGAAUUACUGGGCGUAAAGGGCUCGUAGGCGGCCAACUAAGUCAGACGUGAAAUCCCUCGGCUUAACCGGGGAACUGCAUCUGAUACUGGAUGGCUUGAGUUCGGGAGAGGGAUGCGGAAUUCCAGGUGUAGCGGUGAAAUGCGUAGAGAUCGGGAGGAAGGCCGGUGGCGAAGGCGGCGCUCUGGGAACGUUUCUGACACUGAGGCUCGAAAGCGUGGGGAGCAAACAGG